rnacentral:rRNA from 1 species
AUGGCAGUCCUGCAGCGCAUCAAGCAGUAUGCUUCAGAGACAUCACGGUCCCUCCACUUCUGCCGCAUCUUCUCAGCAUCUGGCGCAGCCUGGUGCUGCAGCAGCGAAGCAAGCAAGUGGUCCGAUCAAAUUGACCCUCGUCGCCAACAAGAUCACAUCCCUCAUUGUCACAAAAUUGACUGGAUCUCAGUGAAGACAGAUGCAGCCACCCUCAACAGAGCCAAGCUUUGCGACGUGGACGCCUUCCUGUCGACCUCGCCAACGUUGUUCCUGGAAAUGAUCCAAAUGAUCGGGUGCAGGGAGAAGGACGAGAGAGGGGAAGAGUACCAGAAGGGUGGCUGCGGCGGGUUCGGCAGAGGCAACUUCUCCAAGCUGUUCAAGUUCAUUGAGGAUUAUGAAAAGUCCCUUGAAGCCAACCUUGUUCUUAGAGAUGAUCAAAGGAUCGAAUGCAAUGAGAAGGACGAUAUUGGGCAGGAGUUCCAGAAUGGUAGCUGCGGCCGGUUUGGCAAGGGCAACUUCUCCAAGCUGUUGAGAUCUACUCCAGGAGUAUUGGGCAGGAGUUCCAGGAGUAUUAAGGAGAAUGAGAAAUUCUUUGAAGCCAAGCAAUCUGCGGGAAUCAACUGCUCAGUUGCUCAUCAUGUCCUUGUUACUACACUGUACAACGUGAGAGACGGAAAGAUAUGGAAGCGAAUCUCAUUGUCAGGAGCAAAACAGCCUAGAGAACAUCAUCUUCUCAGCAUCUGCGCAACCUGGUGCUGCAGCACCAAUGCAGCAAGUGGUCCGAUCAAAUUGAACCUCGUCGCCGCCGCUGAGAUCACAUCCCCCAUUGUCACAAACAUCAUCAGGAGACCUACUGGUGCAGUACACAAAUGGAAGCAGCAGGCUUCCAAUGUUCUCCAAGACCUGGAUAAUAAAUUCGAGCGCUUCUUUGCUCUACUCCCUGUGAUUCCAAAUCUAACUGCAUCAACUAUUAUGUUCAGGCCAACGUUGUUCCUGGAGAUGAUCCAAAGGAUCGGGUGCAUGGAGAAGGACGAGAGAGGGGAAGAGUACCAGAAGGGUGACUUCGGAGGGUUUGGCAAAGGCAACUUCUCCGAGCUGUUCAAGUCCAUUGAGGAUUAUGAGAAGUCCCUUGAAGCCAAGCAAUCUGCUGCAGUUCAGGGAUCAUAG